GAUGAAGAACGUAGCGAAAUGCGAUACGUAAUGUGAAUUGCAGAAUUCAGUGAAUCAUCGAAUCUUUGAACGCAUAUUGCGCUCUUUGGUAUUCCGAAGAGCAUGCUUGUUUGAGUAUCAGUAAACACCUCAAAGACUUCAAUUUGUUUUGAAUGGCUUUGGACUUGAGCAAUCCCAACACCAGUCUUUACGAUCGGUGGAGGGUUGCUUGAAAUGCAGGUGCAGCUGGACAUUCUCCUGAGCUAAAAGCAUAUUUAUUUAGUCCCGUCAAACGGAUUAUUACUUUUGCUGCAGCUAACAUAAAGGGAGUUUGACCGUAUUGGCUGACUGAUGCAGGAUUUCACAAGGGUCGGCAACGAUUCUUGUAAAACUCGAUCUCAAAUCAAGUAAAACUACCCGCUGAACUUAAGCAUAUCAAUAAGCGGAGGA
rnacentral:misc_RNA from 1 species